rnacentral:misc_RNA from 1 species
GGGUUUUUGGUUUGUAACGGGUGGUUGGAUGUCUGCUUGCGCAGCAACUUCCAUGCCGUCUUACCUCUUCAGUUGCGUUACAAGGCAAUUUUGCCUUGAACAUAAGUGGGUUCCUGUGUUGCAUACCUAAUUGAUGGCAUUGUGUUGUUUGAAUAGAGUUUCCUUUCGUUAAGCGUCGCAKGCGGUGCCAACGAACCUUGAAGCUGUCUUUGUGGUCCAUGUUGUUAUUGCGGAUGUCUUGACGGCAUGGCCCUAUGAAGUGUUGCUUGGUCUCUUGGAUAUGGAACCUGGUGUGGGCACUUGGUCAGUCAUGAUCAUGUAUUUUGCCCUACAUUAGCGUUUUGCUUCUCUAGACGACUGUCUUUCUUGCAUUGACUUGUUGGUGCAGGGUAGGCUUASUCGAAGAGGAAUGCUACCUGGU